AAGGGCACCACAAGAACGCGUGGAGCAUGUGGUUUAAUUUGACUCAACGCGGGAAAUCUUACCGGGUCCGGACACACUGAGGAUUGACAGGCGUUUGUGGUUAGUCGUAGUAUUUCAACCUCGGUUGUUUGCUGCGCUUUCCACUAUAAAUAUGCUAGUCCUUUCAUGAUUGUGUGAUAGGUGGUGCAUGGCCGUUCUUAGUUCGUGGAGUGAUCUGUCUGCUUAAUUGCGUUUCACAAAGAACUCUUUAACUUUUGCCUGUUGCGCGGCAUUCGUGCUCUCUGAGCCGGUGUCUGUGCACGGUAAAGAAAAAGUUCUGAAGGCAACGAACGUGACCGCAACCUCUUGUUGCCUCCUUUUUUAUAAAACAUGAGUUGGUAUCUCGUUUGACCCCUUUGUUGGGGACUCACAGUGCCAUCUCUGCAUGGAGUUUGCUAACUAGAGGGACCGCUGACAACUUUUAAAACAGAGGAAGGUUGCGGCAAUAACAGGUCUGUGAUGCCCUUAGAUGUUCCGGGCUGCACACGUGCUACAAUGAUUAUUGCAGUGAGCAUCUAACUAAAAAAGCUUGAGUUUGUGUUUGGUGUGCUCUCUGAGUGUACCUUACAUGACUCGGCUACUGACCUGCUUCGAAAGUAAGCAGGUAAUCAAUUCGAAGUAAUGAUUUCCUUUCGCACAUACUUAUAUCUCUUGCUUGUAGGCUAGCCUGUCCUUGUGGCAUGGUUUUGUUUCUACCUUGAGAUAUGUGCUCCAUUAAUUCAUGGUGGGGACAGGCCAUUGUUAAUUGUUGGUCUCGGUCUCAACUAGGAAUGCCUUGUACGGGUCUUUGGUUCAACAAACCACCCGGAAUAUGUCCCUGCCCUUUGUACACACCGCCCGUCGCUCUUACCGAUGGACUUCUCUAUGAGUUUGGGGGACUGGCUUGUCUAUUUAUAGACAGCUAUGGAAACCUAAACGAAUAGUGUGGUCUAAAGGAAAGAGAAGUCGUAACAAGGCAUCGGUAGGUGAACCUGCAGAAGGAUCA
rnacentral:rRNA from 1 species